UACGUAGGGUGCAAGCGUUAUCCGGAAUCACUGGGCGUAAAGCGUGCGUAGGUGGGAAUUUAAGUGAGAUGUGAAAUCGUGUGGCUCAACCAUAUCGUUGUAUCUCAUACUGGGUUCCUAGAGGACGGCAGAGGCAAGUGGAACUAGCAGUGUAGCAGUGAAAUGCGUAGAUAUUGCUAGGAACACCAAUGGCGAAGGCAGCUUGCUGGGCCACUCCUGACACUGAGGUACGAAAGCGUGGGGAGCGAACAGG
rnacentral:rRNA from 1 species